rnacentral:rRNA from 1 species
GAUGAACGCUGGCGGCGUGCCUAAUACAUGCAAGUCGAGCGAACGGACGAGAAGCUUGCUUCUCUGAUGUUAGCGGCGGACGGGUGAGUAACACGUGGAUAACCUACCUAUAAGACUGGGAUAACUUCGGGAAACCGGAGCUAAUACCGGAUAAUAUUUUGAACCGCAUGGUUCAAAAGUGAAAGACGGUUUUGCUGUCACUUAUAGAUGGAUCCGCGCUGCAUUAGCUAGUUGGUAAGGUAACGGCUUACCAAGGCAACGAUGCAUAGCCGACCUGAGAGGGUGAUCGGCCACACUGGAACUGAGACACGGUCCAGACUCCUACGGGAGGCAGCAGUAGGGAAUCUUCCGCAAUGGGCGAAAGCCUGACGGAGCAACGCCGCGUGAGUGAUGAAGGUCUUCGGAUCGUAAAACUCUGUUAUUAGGGAAGAACACAUGUGUAAGUAACUGUGCACGUCUUGACGGUACCUAAUCAGAAAGCAACGGCUAACUACGUG